rnacentral:lncRNA from 1 species
AAGAAAAGCUUGCCUUUGUGGCUUGCCUUGUGUGUGUGUCUGCAGGGACGCUUUGGGAAAGAGUUGCAUAUCCCAUCCUGUUCAAAAUACAACUCCUUUCGGGAAAAUAAAAGCUUGCCUUUCUGCCUUGCCUUCCCCCGGGCUACGGGUGUGUGUGUGUCUGCAAGGAACGCUUUGGGAAAGAGUUGCAUAUCCCAUCCUGUUCAAAAUACAACUCCUUUCGGGAAAAUAAAAGCUUGCCUUUCUGCCUUGCCUUCCCCUGGGCUACGGGUGUGUGUGUGUCUGCAAGGAACGCUUUGGGAAAGAGUUGCAUAUCCCAUCCUGUUCAAAAUACAACUCCUUUUGUGGAAAGAAAAGCUUGCCUUUCUGCCUUGCCUUGUGUGUGUGUCUGCAGGGACGCUCUGGGAAAGAGUUGCAUAUCCCAUCCUGUUCAAAAUACAACUCCUUUUGGGGAAAGAAAAGCUUGCCUUUGUGCCUUGCCUUCCUUGUGUGUGUGUCUGCCAGGGACGCUUUGAAAAAGAGUUGCAUAUCCCAUCCUGUUCAAAAUACAACUCCUUUCGGGAAAAUAAAAGCUUGCCUUUCUGCCUUGCCUUCCCCUGGGCUACGGGUGUGUGUGUGUCUGCAAGGAACGCUUUGGGAAAGAGUUGCAUAUCCCAUCCUGUUCAAAAUACAACUCCUUUUGUGGAAAGAAAAGCUUGCCUUUCUGCCUUGCCUUCCCCUGGGCUACGGGUGUGUGUGUGUCUGCAGGGACGCUCUGGGAAAGAGUUGCAUAUCCCAUCCUGUUCAAAAUACAACUCCUUUCGGGAAAAUAAAAGCUUGCCUUUCUGCCUUGCCUUCCCCUGGGCUACGGGUGUGUGUGUGUCUGCAAGGAACGCUUUGGGAAAGAGUUGCAUAUCCCAUCCUGUUCAAAAUACAACUCCUUUGGGGGAAAGAAAAGCUUGCCUUUCUGCCUUGCCUUGUGUGUGUGUCUGCAGGGACGCUCUGGGAAAGAGUUGCAUAUCCCAUCCUGUUCAAAAUACAACUCCUUUGGGGGAAAGAAAAGCUUGCCUUUCUGCCUUGCCUUGUGUGUGUGUCUGCCAGGGACGCUUCCUGAUUUUCCCAAGACAACUUUGGGAAAGAGUUGCAUAUCCCAUACUUUCCUGUAGAACUGGAAAGUACAGGUAUCCCCUUGUAAAUAAAUAA